rnacentral:lncRNA from 1 species
CACUACCAGUAUGUCUGGAAAGAGGGCUCUAUCAGGAGAGGGGGGAGCCAGGCACCCAGCACAUCCCAGCUCUCCUUGUAUUACUGCUUCCGGGCCAUUUUUCCCCCAGGAAUGCAACUCCUCCUCCUCCUCCUUCACAAGCUUCAUUCUUCCUCUGUUUCUCAGCUACUGAGAGCUCCCUCCCGUCCCCUCGGGCUAAAUGCUCAGCCUGAUCAAYGUGCUCCCGGCUGAGUUCUGGUGUUAAUCAACGAGGCGCCUGGAGGUAAAUGCCCCUGGGGAGAGACAGCAAGCGGCAUUAGACGUUCCUGCUGGCAACAGUUGUGUCUCGGCGCUAGCUGUGCACGUGGCUCUGUGCCUGGCCAGUUCCCCAUUUCUCUGUGUCAGUGUGAUUACUGGUGUAAAAAGAUAAUUGAUACGUAGAAAGUCCCGGCUGGCACAGGGAGAGAAGCGACUUCCUUUAGAGGGAGGACACAUUUAAGGCUAAGCAUAAAUGUGGCGAGGCCUGUGCUGUGUGUGCUGGCUCCGGUUGCCGUGGCCGCUCGGGAGACRGCCAUCCUGCCUUUCUUGGCGAAAGAGGAGACAGAAACGCAUAGGCGGAUGCUGCAUGCUCUCUGAACACACAUAUGCUCCUUCAAAAGGUUUUGCUUSAUUAUUUGCAGUCGGAAAUUACAGCUGAUUGCUGUGCUCCCGGGGGAACGGGGACCACCCCAGCUGUGCUGGCUGACCGCUCCGCACCAAUGCCGGCGACAUACCCACGGUAGCCUCUGCGCCUGGGAAGGUGGCCAUCACUGCAUUGAUUGCUAUUGCGUGUGUGGAUCUAGCCGAUGUUUCUUGAAAUCUCCUGCUCUGAACUUGUUGUACCUAUCCAGUCACUGCAUGUGGUGCCAGCAGCAAGACAGUUUUACUUAUAUUCCCAUCCUGAGUGGUCUCCAUGACAGUCAACAUAUUCCAUCGGGACUCAAGGCUCACAGGAAAACUGAAGUGAAGUCCCCCGCUCCGUGUCAUGUUGCCCUACCUGUGCCCAAAGCGUGAUGGCUGCAAGGCAUAGGAAGUCGGAAAGCAUCCCCUGUCCCCGUGCAGCGAGGUGCCAGCUGUGCAGGUGACACCUCUAGAGCACAAAGAGCCAUUUCCAAAGCAGCCUCUGGCAGUGGGUCUGCCUGAGGAGCUGGUGCACAGGCAGGUACAAAUCCCCAGCUGGGGUCACUGCUGUGAUCGGUUUCAGAGCAGGCAGCUCCCAACAAGCUCUGGCAGCUUCUCAAAAUGAGAAAACAUGGUCUCUGUUUAAUUAUGGGUUUGUAAGCAGGCCUUAGUGGCCUCCUGCACAGAGCCCGCUUUUCCCCUCGUGCAUGGAUGGUGUGGGCUAAGAUCAGGUUAUGGAUGUUUCUCUGCAUCUGGACAACAAACUUUAGUUGUGCCUGCGUCUUGGCUGUCCAAAGCUGCACGCUCUCACACAGCGUAUGCCCCUAAGCACAAUCUCCUUGAACAAGCGGAGCAAUAGGUGCUUUGCAGCGAGACUCCUGCCCUYGCCGAAGGUUCGGUCCCAGACAGGCUGCUGGCAGCAGUUGCAAAAGAAGGGCUUUUAAUGGUGAGAGCGUCAUGGAGGAGAGGGGCCAUCUGUCAGAUCCCCAGCCACUAACGUGGGCAAGGAGGCUACAGUGGAGGCAGACUGCUUCUUGGCUUAAUUCUGCUGGAGUUCUUAUCCCAAGGGUGAUGCUGGACUCAAGCCAAGAUAUGUGGAGCUCAGCAUAAUGCUGGCUUGCAUGCUGACCACAUCAGUCGCAAAUUAAGUACAAGCUUUUCUGUAUGCUGCCUAUAAUUGUUUAAUUUAAUGAUAUUGCUUAAAACGUGGCAUAUAUGACGCUCUGAUUUAUACCCAGUUUUCUCCCCUCUUCGAAGGAACUACCCAAUUUCCUGAAAACUGAAGCCUGAAAAACACGAUGUGUAAUAGAGUGCAAUUUUAUAAUACAGACUCUUACUGCAAUGUGCAAAUAUAAAUGUAGUCAUUCAUUCCUGAGAUAUUUUCUAUAUGUGCUGGAUUCUCAAAACCACUUUAUAUACUGAAGUUUAGUAAUGUGCAGUCUGGUUCCACCACUGUCAGGCAACAAAUAAACUCCGAGAACUGAAGCA